UAGGGAAUUUUCCACAAUGGACGAAAGUCUGAUGGAGCAACGCCGCGUGCAGGAUGAAGGCCCUUGGGUCGUAAACUGCUUUUAUGAGUGAAGAUUUAGACGGUAACUCAAGAAUAAGGGACGGCUAACUACGUGCCAGCACCAGCGGUAAUACGUAGACCUCAAGCGUUAUCCGGAUUUAUUGGGCGUAAAGCGUGUGUAGGCGGCUCUGUGCGUCUCGUGUUAAAGACCACCGCUCAACGGUGGAAAUGCGCGGGAUACGGCAGGGCUUGAGGAGGUUAGAGGUGCUUGGAACUCACGGUGUAGGGGUGACAUCCGUUGAUAUCGUGGGGAACACCAAAGGCGAAGGCAGAGCACUGGGACCUUUCUGACGCUGAGACACGAAAGCGUGGGGAGCAAAAAGGAUUAGAUACCCAUGUAGUCCCUGAGCGGGCUGGCAAGGCGCAU
rnacentral:rRNA from 1 species